rnacentral:rRNA from 1 species
GACAGAGGGGGCAAGCGUUGCUCGGAAUUACUGGGCGUAAAGGGCGCGUAGGCGGAAUGGCAAGUCGGUCGUGAAAUCCUUCGGCUCAACCGAAGAACGUCGAUCGAAACUGCCGUUCUUGAGGAUUGCAGAGGAGACUGGAAUUCCCGGUGUAGCGGUGAAAUGUGUAGAGAUCGGGAGGAACACCGGUGGCGAAGGCGGGUCUCUGGACAGUUCCUGACGCUGAGGCACGAAGGUCAGGGGAGCAAACGGG